UACGUAGGUGGCAAGCGUUGUCCGGAUUUACUGGGUGUAAAGGGCGUGCAGCCGGGCUGACAAGUCAGAUGUGAAAUCCCGCGGCUCAACCGCGGAACUGCAUUUGAAACUGUCAGUCUUGAGUACCGGAGAGGUCAUCGGAAUUCCUUGUGUAGCGGUGAAAUGCGUAGAUACAAGGAAGAACACCAGUGGCGAAGGCGGAUGACUGGACGGCAACUGACGGUGAGGCGCGAAAGCGUGGGGAGCAAACAGG
rnacentral:rRNA from 1 species